CCCCCGGCACUGGGGGGGAAGCGGUGCUGCCACUUGCCGGAGGUCAAAGCAUCAUUCAGUGGUGGCGGCAAGCCGGCAAUAGCCGCUUCUCAGUCCCUUGUUCUAAUCGCUGCUCUGCUCCCUGGUGAAAAACCUUAGAAAACAAGGCAGUGACUGGCUCUGCAAAGCACUGACGACAACAAUGCGGAGCUUCUUCCCCCGCUCUCCGGCAGCGUGGGAUCGUGACCCAGCACAACGUCUGGAACACCUGGGGCUGUUACCGCCAGCUCCACCGGGGCUCUCGUCCCUACACAAGUUUUGGGUUCCAGGCGUUCCUGAAGUGGUGGGAGCUGGAGGUGAGCGAGGGCUGGGAGGGUCUGUGCUGGAAGGCUCCACGGGAGCUCAUCCGUCAAGUGGGAUAUGCGAGGCUUCAUAUUGCUUCCUCUCUAGGAUCCUGAAAGAUAAACUCCUUUGAAGUCCAUUAACAAACUCUCUAGGACAAAAGGUUAUUGUAAACAUUGGUGCAAACAUCUAGCGAUGCGCUUAUGCUGAUAAACCUUUGGGGAGUGACUGGAAGCCGCCUGCCUGAGGGUCCCUAGUCAGUAUCUGUGGCAGUGCCUUUGCUGCAGAGCUCUCCAUGAAUACUGGCAUUUUUCUCCUUAUCUGCUCAGUCGUCGACAGGAAGCGUUUCGUACGGUGCCCUUAAACUGAUCUAGCGAAGCGCUAAAAAUAAAACCUCUUUGUGAAGCCGCAAACUCCUGCCCUAUCUGCUGCG